AUCCCUAUUUUGAAAUUUAUCAAUAAGGAUUUAUAUGUAAAUUGGAGGAUCUAUAUGUAAAUAUAGAAAUUUUAAGGACUAAACUGUUAAGUUGCAAAAAGAAAAAAAAAUAAAGAAAACCAAAAAUUUCGGUUUUAUCUUCGAGAAACAGAGAGAGCAGCGGUGGGGCGUGGGGAGAAGAAGAAGAGAAGUUGAGGGAGAAGAGAAGAAAAGAAGAAGAAGAGGGAAAAGAAGAGAUUAGGAAGAAGAGGGGGAAGAGAAGAAAAGAAGAAGAAGAAGAAGAAGAGAGGGAAGAUGGAGAGGAGAGAGAGAGGGGCAGCAGCUGCAGCUAGGGCUGCAGUACCUUUUUUCCCGCAGGUGGAAACAGAGGAGAGGAUGUGUGGGGCGUUGGGGAGGAGAAGGGAAGAAGAAGAAGAAGAAGAAGAGAGGAGGAUAGCUGUGGCAAGGCUGCAGCGAGGAGGUGUGUGGCGUUGGGGAGGAAAAAGGAAGAGGAGAAGAAGAGAAGGAGAAGAAGAGGGAAAAGAGACGGAAGAGGGAGAGGAGCGAGAGGUGGCAGCAGCACCUCUGUUUCCUGCAGGUGGAAACAGAGGAGAGGUGUGGGGCGUUCGAAGAGGAGAAGAAGAAGAAGAGGAAGAGAAGAGGAAGAGGAAGCAGGAGAAGAGGUUGUGAUACCUCUGUUUCCUGCAGAGGAAACAGAGGAGAGGGUGUGUGUGACGCCGAGGAGGAGGAGGGAAGAAGAAGAGGAGAAGAAGAAGAGAAGGGAAAAGAGGAGCUGCGGCUGCGGCGGUGGAAGCUGCAGCUGGAAGAGAAGGAGAGGAAGAGAUGGUAAGGAAGAAGAGAAGAAGUAGAAGCGGGUGAAGAGGCGGCACCUCUAUUUCCUGCAGGAGGAAACAGAGGAAAGGAGGUGUUGUUCAUCGGGGAGAAGAAGGGAAGGAAGCAGAAGAAGAGAAGAAGAAGAAAGGAAGGAGAAGGAAGAGGAGAAGGGAAAGAAGUAGCUGCGGCUGCGGCUGUGGUAGCUGCAGCUGUGGCAGGGAAAGAGGAAGAGGAAGGAAGAAGGGAAGGAGAGAAAGAAGAGAAGGGGAAGAAGGGGCUGCGGCUGCGGCGAUGGCAGCUGCAGUUGGAAGGGAAGAAGGGGCUGCGGCUGCGGCGAUGGCAGCUGCAGUUGGAAGAGAAGAAGGAGAGGAAGAUGAGUAGGGGAGGAAGAAGAGGCUGCAGUCGUGGCUAAGGCUGCGACUGCAGCAGUGCAGCUGGGAAAGAAGAGAAGGAAAGGAAGAAGAAGAGAAAGGAAAAGGGAAGAAGAGAGGAAGAGGAGAAGGGGAGGCAGCUGCGGCAGUGGCAGCUGCAGCUGGAAGAGAAGGAGAGGAAAUAGAGCUGGGGAGGAAGAAGAGGCUGCGGCUGUGGUGGCUGCGGCCAUGGCUACGACUACGACUGCGGCAGUUGCAGUUGGGAAAGAAAAGAAAGGAAAGGGGGAAAAAGGGGCUGCGGGCGGGAUUGCGGCCGCAGCGGCAGCGACUGCGUAUGCAACAGUUAUGUCUGCGAGAGAAGGGAGGAAGGAAGGUAGUGCGGUGGAAGGGGCUGCGAUUGUAGCAGCAGCAGCGGCGGCGGUUGUGGCAACUGCAUUUGGGAAAGAAAAAGAAGGAAUGAGAGUAAGAGAGAGCAGGUGACUGUGCCUCGAUGUUCGACACGUGGUAAAAGAAAGAAAACGAGUGCACAAAACGAAACAGGGAGGGGAUGGAGGAAAAGUAGAAAAAGGAUUCGAGCGUACACCUUCUUCGAAUCUUUGGAUCAAAACCUUCAAAAGGUCAGCUUGUCACUCUUUGAGAUGUUUGAAUUGGGCUGAGGCAGUGGAGAGCUAUUCUGAAUUAUGGGCAAGUCUUGUUGGGUAUUAUGUUAUUGUUGUAUAAGCAUAUUUUGUAUGUAAUGAAAUGUUAUCGAUGAACCGAAAUGGAUAUACCUUGUAAAAGUGUUAGAAGAUCUCUCUUAUUUGGAA